GCUUGUCUCAAAGAUUAAGCCAUGCAUGUCUAAGUAUAAACAAAUUCAUACUGUGAAACUGCGAAUGGCUCAUUAAAUCAGUUAUAGUUUAUUUGAUGGUAUCUUGCUACAUGGAUAACUGUGGUAAUUCUAGAGCUAAUACAUGCUGAAAAGCCCCGACUUCUGGAAGGGGUGUAUUUAUUAGAUGGAAACCAAUGCGGGGUAACCCGGAAUAUGGUGAUUCAUAAUAACUUUCGGAUCGAUUUAUCGAUGCAUCAUUCAAGUUUCUGCCCUAUCAGCUUUGGAUGGUAGGGUAUUGGCCUACCAUGGCUUUAACGGGUAACGGAGAAUUAGGGUUCGAUUCCGGAGAGGGAGCCUGAGAAAUGGCUACCACAUCCAAGGAAGGCAGCAGG
rnacentral:rRNA from 1 species